GCCCCAGUGGCGCAAUGGAUAGCGCGUCGGACUUCUAAUCCGGAGGCUGAGGGUUCGAGUCCCUCCUGGGGUA
rfam:Macrostomum lignano uti_cns_0004013, whole genome shotgun sequence.